rnacentral:rRNA from 1 species
AUUGAACGCUGGCGGCAGGCUUAACACAUGCAAGUCGAGCGGAGAUGAGGUGCUUGCACCUUAUCUUAGCGGCGGACGGGUGAGUAAUGCUUAGGAAUCUGCCAUUUAGUGGGGGACAACAUUCCGAAAGGCAUACUAAUACCGCAUACGUCCUACGGGAGAAAGCAGGGGAUCUUCGGACCUUGCGCUAAAUGAUGAGCCUAAGUCGGAUUAGCUAGUUGGUGGGGUUAAGGCCUACCAAGGCGACGAUCUGUAGCGGGUCUGCGAGGAUGCUGCGCCACACUGGGACUGAGACACGGCCCAGACUCCUACGGGAGGCAGCAGUGGGGAAUAUUGGACAAUGGGCGGAAGCCUGAUCCAGCCAUGCCGCGUGUGUGAAGAAGGCCUUUUGGUUGUAAAGCACUUUAAGCGAGGAGGAGGCUACUAGUACUAAUACUACUGGAUAGUGGACGUUACUCGCAGAAUGAGCACCGGCUAACUCUGUGCCAGCCGCCGCGGUAAGAC